AUACUUACCUGGCAGGGGAGAUACCAUGAUCACGAAGGUGGUUGUCCCAGGGCGAGGUUUAUCCAUUGCACUCCGGAUGUGCUGACCCCUGCAAUUUCCCCAAAUGUGGGAAACUUGACUGCAUAAUUUGUUGUAGUUGGGGACUGCGUUCACGCUAGA
rnacentral:snRNA from 1 species